rnacentral:rRNA from 1 species
AGGUGAACCUGCGGAUCGGAUGUCGAUCAGCGGAGGAAGAUUCCGUACUCUGAAAUGAAGAGUCGUCUGAGUACUAUAUGAUAAUUAAUACUUUCAACAACGGAUCUCUUGGUUCUGGCAUCGAUGAAGAACGCAGCGAAAUGCGAUAAGUAAUGUGAAUUGCAGAAUUCAGUGAAUCAUCGAAUCUUUGAACGCACAUUGCGCCCCUUGGUAUUCCGGGGGGCAUGCCUGUUCGAGCGUCAUUACAACCCUCAAGCUCUGCUUGGUAUUGGGCGUCCCCGGCGACGGGGUGCCCUAAAAUCAGUGGCGGUGCCGUCUGGCUCUAAGCGUAGUAAAUCUCUCGCUCUGGAUGCCCGGUGGAUGCUCGCCAGAACCCCCCAUUUUUACAGGUUGACCUCGGAUCAGGUAGGGAUACCCGCUGAACUUAAGCAUAUCAUAGCCCGGAGGAAGAUUCCGCACGUGCUGAUGUGCAUAUCCGUAUGUUCAACCACAGAAUCAUC